CAGCAGCCACGGGAAUACGAAGGGUGCAAGCGUUACUCGGAAUUACUGGGCGUAAAGCGUGCGUAGGUGGUGGUUUAAGUCCGUUGUGAAAGCCCUGGGCUCAACCUGGGAAUUGCAGUGGAUACUGGGUCACUAGAGUGUGGUAGAGGAUAGUGGAAUUUCCGGUGUAGCAGUGAAAUGCGUAGAGAUCGGAAGGAACAUCUGUGGCGAAGGCGACUAUCUGGGCCAACACUGACACUGAGGCACGAAAGCGUGGGGAGCAAACAGGAUUAGAGACCCCUGUAGUCCCUGUCUCUUAUAC
rnacentral:rRNA from 1 species